AUUGAACGCUGGCGGCAGGCCUAACACAUGCAAGUCGAGCGAGCGGCGGACGGGGGAGUACUGUAUGGGGAAUGCCCGAUAGAGGGGGAUAACUACUGGAAACAGUGGCUAAUACCGCAUACUGCCGUAUAGCCCAUAGGGGAUUAGUUAGUAGGUAAGGUAAUGGCUUACCUAGGCGACGAUCCCUAGCUGGUCUGAGAGGAUGAUCAGCCACACUGGGACUGAGACACGGCCCAGACUCCUACGGAGGCAGCAGUGGGGAAUAUUGCACAAUGGGCGCAAGCCUGAUGCAGCCAUGCCGCGUGUAUGAAGAAGGCCCUAGGGUUGUAAAGUACUUUCAGUCGGGAGGCGUUACCGACAGAAGAAGCACCGGCUAACUCCGUGCCAGCAGCCGCGGUAAUAC
rnacentral:rRNA from 1 species